UACGUAGGGUGCGAGCGUUGUCCGGAAUUAUUGGGCGUAAAGAGCUUGUAGGCGGUUUGUCGCGUCUGCUGUGAAAACCCGGGGCUCAACUCCGGGCCUGCAGCCGAUACGGGCAGACUAGAGUUCGGCAGGGGAGACUGGAAUUCCUGGUGUAGCGGUGAAAUGCGCAGAUAUCAGGAGGAACACCGGUGGCGAAGGCGGGUCUCUGGGGCCGAUACUGACGCUGAGGAGCGAAAGCGUGGGGAGCGAACAGG
rnacentral:rRNA from 1 species